rnacentral:rRNA from 1 species
UGACCUCGGAUCAGGUAGGGAUACCCGCUGAACUUAAGCAUAUCAAUAAGCGGAGGAAAAGAAACCAACAGGGAUUGCCCUAGUAACGGCGAGUGAAGCGGCAAUAGCUCAAAUUUGAAAGCUGGCCUUCUGGUCCGCAUUGUAAUUUGUAGAGGAUGCUUUUAGGCAGCCGCCGGUCUAAGUUCCUUGGAACAGGACGUCAUAGAGGGUGAGAAUCCCGUAUGUGACCGGCUCUGGCACCUUAUGUAAAGCUCCUUCGACGAGUCGAGUUGUUUGGGAAUGCAGCUCUAAAUGGGAGGUAAAUUUCUUCUAAAGCUAAAUACCGGCGAGAGACCGAUAGCGCACAAGUAGAGUGAUCGAAAGAUGAAAAGCACUUUGGAAAGAGAGUUAAAAAGCACGUGAAAUUGUUGAAAGGGAAGCGCUUGCAAUCAGACUUGGACUUGGCUGUUCAACCGGUCUUCUGACCGGCCCACUCAGUCUUGUCCAGGCCAGCAUCAGUUUCGGCGGCCGGAUAAAGGCCUUGGGAAUGUAGCUGUCCCUUCGGGGACAGUGUUAUAGCCCAGGGUGUAAUACGGCCAGCCGGGACUGAGGUCCGCGCUCGGCU